rnacentral:lncRNA from 1 species
AGUGAUAGUAAGGAUGCUAUAUGUACAGUUAAUCUACAAUGAUAAGAACACAAUAUGAGCGGACAACUCAUGAUGACAUGCAAAACUAGAUUAGGAUUUUUGUCUAAUUGUGUCUCUCACUAUUUUAACGAACUUCAUAGCCCUCAAGUAUGAAAAAUUAGAAACAUCCUUAUAUUUCUUAGUGAGGUUGAGAUUCUUAUUCCUUACAAAUAUCUUGUGGAUAGCACAAUAAGUAUUCAUGAGUUCAAGAGUAGAUAACUCUUUAUCAAUUGUAUCUUAUACAA